ensembl:lncRNA
AUGCUGAACGGGAGCCGCGAGGGUUUGUUUGAACUGGGCAGGCAGCUCCAGCAGGAAGGAGACUCACAAGCUGCUCUGCACUGCUUUUUGAGCUGCCUGCUGGGACUCACACAUGUGCAGAGCUUCCACUCGCUUCCCAACUGCCUGCAUCAGAUCGCUGAACUCUACAUUGAUGACAAGAACUAUGGGAAAGCUCUACAGUUUAUUCAGGCGGAGAAGAUGUUUUACGAAGUGGCAUUGAUCGAGCUCACCUCACUGCAGGCCAGCACAGGGUCUCAGGAAGACGGACCAUUGGGAACGUCAGGAUGUCUGUCUCAAGAGGAGUUAUCAGAACAGGCUUCACAGGCCCAGGAUCUUGAGAGACUGGCUCAGCUCUGCAUCAUGAGCAAAAGACCUCACCUUGCUUUAGAAUACAGUGGCAAGGCCACUAAAAUCCACCAGAGGGCUUUUGGUAACGAUCACCCUAUCACAGCCCGGAGUCUGGAGCUGCUAGCCACUGUCUAUGCAGAGAUCGGCAAAACAGAAUAUACAAAUUCAUUGGGAGAGUGUGUGUCGACUCUUUCCAAAAGGUUCUCAGCCACCGAGUCAUUCAGUGACGCUCUGAGUAGCAUCUCUCAUAGCCAUAAGGACAGACACUCUGAGCUGCGACACAGAAAAGAGCCAUACAUACAACAGGAAACUCCUAAAACAAAGGUCAUAAAUGAAAAACUGCCCACCUCUAUUCUGAAAAGGUCCAACAUGAGCAAUGUGGAGUCAGACUCAUUGCGCAAGCGAAAAACCGAGAGGCGGGUUCGCUUCAGAGAGCCGGAGAUCACUGUUCAUGACAUUCCAUACUAUGACUGUUUAGGAGUCUAUGACACUCCCCAGAGCCGUUUGCACCUGACCCUGCUCACCUGCCUGUUCCUGCUUCUGUCUGCGCUGGGUCUGGCACUGUACUGCACGGACCGCCGGAGACCCCAGCGUGCCUGCGAAGAGCUGCAGACGGCACUGGCUGUGUACCUGCUUCAGUUCAAACAGAUCGUCUUUGUUUUUUAUUGCUUUAUUUUCACUGUUAUAAUCAGACUGGCCACCAGUCAAAUUUUCUGA